rnacentral:rRNA from 1 species
AUGGAGAGUUUGAUUCUGGCUCAGAACGAACGCUGGCGGCGUGGAUAAGACAUGCAAGUCGAACGAGAGAAUUGCUAGCUUGCUAAUAAUUCUCUAGUGGCGCACGGGUGAGUAACACGUGAGUAACCUGCCCCCGAGAGCGGGAUAGCCCUGGGAAACUGGGAUUAAUACCGCAUAGUAUCGAAAGAUUAAAGCAGCAAUGCGCUUGGGGAUGGGCUCGCGGCCUAUUAGUUAGUUGGUGAGGUAACGGCUCACCAAGGCGAUGACGGGUAGCCGGUCUGAGAGGAUGUCCGGCCACACUGGAACUGAGACACGGUCCAGACACCUACGGGUGGCAGCAGUCGAGAAUCAUUCACAAUGGGGGAAACCCUGAUGGUGCGACGCCGCGUGGGGGAAUGAAGGUCUUCGGAUUGUAAACCCCUGUCAUGUGGGAGCAAAUUAAAAAGAUAGUACCACAAGAGGAAGAGACGGCUAACUCUGUGCCAGCAGCCGCGGUAAUACAGAGGUCUCAAGCGUUGUUCGGAAUCACUGGGCGUAAAGCGUGCGUAGGCUGUUUCGUAAGUCGUGUGUGAAAGGCGCGGGCUCAACCCGCGGACGGCACAUGAUACUGCGAGACUAGAGUAAUGGAGGGGGAACCGGAAUUCUCGGUGUAGCAGUGAAAUGCGUAGAUAUCGAGAGGAACACUCGUGGCGAAGGCGGGUUCCUGGACAUUAACUGACGCUGAGGCACGAAGGCCAGGGGAGCGAAAGGGAUUAGAUACCCCUGUAGUCCUGGCAGUAAACGGUGCACGCUUGGUGUGCGGGGAAUCGACCCCCUGCGUGCCGGAGCUAACGCGUUAAGCGUGCCGCCUGGGGAGUACGGUCGCAAGAUUAAAACUCAAAGAAAUUGACGGGGACCCGCACAAGCGGUGGAGUAUGUGGCUUAAUUCGAUGCAACGCGAAGAACCUUACCUGGGCUUGACAUGUAAUGAACAACAUGUGAAAGCAUGCGACUCUUCGGAGGCGUUACACAGGUGCUGCAUGGCCGUCGUCAGCUCGUGUCGUGAGAUGUUUGGUUAAGUCCAGCAACGAGCGCAACCCCUGUUGCCAGUUACCAGCACGUGAAGGUGGGGACUCUGGCGAGACUGCCCAGAUCAACUGGGAGGAAGGUGGGGACGACGUCAGGUCAGUAUGGCCCUUAUGCCCAGGGCUGCACACGUACUACAAUGCCCAGUACAGAGGGGGCCGAAGCCGCGAGGCGGAGGAAAUCCUGAAAACUGGGCCCAGUUCGGACUGUAGGCUGCAACCCGCCUACACGAAGCCGGAAUCGCUAGUAAUGGCGCAUCAGCUACGGCGCCGUGAAUACGUUCCCGGGUCUUGUACACACCGCCCGUCACAUCAUGGAAGCCGGUCGCACCCGAAGUAUCUGAAGCCAACCGCAAGGAGGCAGGGUCCUAAGGUGAGACUGGUAACUGGGAUGAAGUCGUAACAAGGUAGCCGUAGGGGAACCUGCGGCUGGAUCACCUCCUU